AAACCAACAGGGAUUGCCUCAGUAACGGCGAGUGAAGCGGCAACAGCUCAGAUUUGGAAUCUGGUCCCCCCCGCGGGGGCCCGAGUUGUAAUCUGGAGAGGAUGCUUCUGGCGCGGCGCCUGGCGAGUUCCCUGGAACGGGACGCCAGAGAGGGUGAGAGCCCCGUACUCCAGGACGCCUAGCCUUUGUGAAGCUCCUUCGACGAGUCGAGUAGUUUGGGAAUGCUGCUCUAAAUGGGAGGUAAAUUUCUUCUAAAGCUAAAUACCGGCCAGAGACCGAUAGCGCACAAGUAGAGUGAUCGAAAGAUGAAAAGCACUUUGAAAAGAGGGUCAAACAGUACGUGAAAUUGUUGAAAGGGAAGCGCCCGUGGCCAGACUCGCGCUCCACGGCUCACCUGGCGGACUCCGCCGGGGCACGCCGUGGGGUGCGGGCCAGCAUCGGCUCUCGCAGGGGGAUAAGGGCGGUGGGAACGUGGCUCCUUCGGGAGUGUUAUAGCCCAUCGCGCCAUGCCCCUGGGGGGGCCGAGGACCGCGCU
rnacentral:rRNA from 1 species